AGAGUUUGAUCCUGGCUCAGAUUGAACGCUAGCGGAAUGCUUUACACAUGCAAGUCGAACGGCAACACGGACUUCGGUCUGGUGGCGAGUGGCGGACGGGUGAGUAAUAUAUCGGAACGUGCCCAGUAGUGGGGGAUAACUACGCGAAAGCGUAGCUAAUACCGCAUAUUCCCUUAGGGGGAAAGUGGGGGAUCUUCGGACCUCACGCUAUUGGAUCGGCCGAUAUCGGAUUAGCUAGUUGGUGGGGUAAUGGCUCACCAAGGCAACGAUCCGUAGCUGGUCUGAGAGGACGACCAGCCACACUGGGACUGAGACACGGCCCAGACUCCUACGGGAGGCAGCAGUGGGGAAUUUUGGACAAUGGGGGAAACCCUGAUCCAGCCAUUCCGCGUGUGCGAUGAAGGCCUUAGGGUUGUAAAGCACUUUUGGCAGGGAAGAAACAAUGCUGGAUAAUACCCAGCAUGAAUGACGGUACCUGCAGAAUAAGCACCGGCUAACUACGUGCCAGCAGCCGCGGUAAUACGUAGGGUGCAAGCGUUAAUCGGAAUUACUGGGCGUAAAGAGUGCGCAGGCGGUUCGGAAAGAAGGAUGUGAAAUCCCAGGGCUUAACCUUGGAACUGCAUUUUUAACUACCGAACUAGAGUGUGUCAGAGGGAGGUAGUAUUCCGCAUGUAGCAGUGAAAUGUAGUAGAUAUGCGGAGGAACACCAAUGGCGAAGGCAGCCUCGUGGGAUAACAGUGACGAGCAUGCACGAAAAGUGUGGGGAGCAAACAGGAUUAGAUACCCUGAUAGUCCACGCCAUAAACGAUGUCAACUAGCUGUUGGGACCUUCGGGUCUUAGUGGCGCAGCUAACGCGUGAAGUUGACCGCCUGGGGAGU
rnacentral:rRNA from 1 species